AUUGAACGCUGGCGGCAGGCCUAACACAUGCAAGUCGAGCGGAUGAAGGGAGCUUGCUCCUGGAUUCAGCGGCGGACGGGUGAGUAAUGCCUAGGAAUCUGCCUGGUUGUGGGGGAUAACGUCCGGAAACGGGCGCUAAUACCGCAUACGUCCUGCGGGAGAAAGUGGGGGAUCUUCGGACCUCACGCUAUCAGAUGAGCCUAGGUCGGAUUAGCUAGUUGGUGGGGUAAAGGCCUACCAAGGCGACGAUCCGUAACUGGUCUGAGAGGAUGAUCAGUCACACUGGAACUGAGACACGGUCCAGACUCCUACGGGAGGCAGCAGUGGGGAAUAGUGGACAGUGGGCGAAAGCCUUAUCCAGCCAGGCCGCGUGUGUGAAGAAGGUCUUCGGAUUGUAAAGCACUUUAAGUUGGGAGGAAGGGCAGUAAGUUAAUACGUUGCUGUUUUGACGUUACCAACAGAAUAAGCACCGGCUAACUUCGUG
rnacentral:rRNA from 1 species